rnacentral:pre_miRNA from 1 species
AUAUUACUCCCUUCGUUCAGAAAUACUUGUCGGAUAGAUAAAUGUAUAUAGACGUAUUUUAGUUAUAGAUAGAUCCAUUUUUAACCAUUUCCUCGACAAGUAUUUCCAAACUGAGGGAGCAUUAU